UACGUAGGGGGCAAGCGUUGUCCGGAAUCAUUGGGCGUAAAGAGCGUGUAGGCGGCCAGGUAGGUCGGUUGUGAAAACUGGGGGCUCAACCUUCAGAGGUCGACCGAAACCAUCUGGCUAGAGUCCGGGAGAGGAGAGUGGAAUUCCUGGUGUAGCGGUGAAAUGCGCAGAUAUCAGGAAGAACACCCGUGGCGAAGGCGGCUCUCUGGAACGCAACUGACGCUGAGACGCGAAAGCGUGGGGAGCAAACAGG
rnacentral:rRNA from 1 species